AGGUUCAUAGUCAAGAGGGAAACAGCCCAAACCGUCAGCUAAGGUCCCGAAAUAGUGCUAAGUGUUAAAUGAAGUCCGGAUGCACAGACAGCCAGGAGGUUGGCUCAGAAGCAGCCAUUCCUUGAAAGAGUGCGUAACAGCUCACUGGUCGAGCAUGCGGGCGCAGACAAUGUAACGGGGCUAAGCAUUAUACCGAAGCUGCGGAUCUUGCGCGAAUGCGCAAGGUGGUAGGGGAGCAUGCCGUCAACCGGCGAAGGCGGAUCCGCGAGGGCCGCUGGAGGAAACGGCAGAGAGAAUGCAGGCAUAAGUAACGAAAAGACGGGUGUGAUUCCCGUCCGCCGAAAACAUAAGGUUUCCAGGGUAAAGGCAAUCUGCCCUGGGUAAGUCGGAGCCUAAGUCCAGGCCGAAAGGCGUAGGCGAUGGUAAUCCGGUUCAAAAUCCGGGACCUCCGGCAUUUCGAUGCCACGACGCAUGAGGCGACGUCCGGCGGGAGAACGGUAGUUCCCGUCCAAGCAUUGAGCCGUCAAGGGAGGGGGUUAAAUGAUCCUCCCAGGCGAGAUGUGACAGCGAGCUGAGAGAAAGUCGAAGCGAAGCGGGCAGAGUCAAGGUGCCGAGAAAGAGUGGCUAGGCAAGGUGCCGGAGUCCGUACCGUAAACGGACACACGUAUGUAGGAUGAGUAAUCUAAGGCGCUCGAGCGACCUCGCGUUAAGGAACUCGGCAAAAUGCGCACGUAACUUCGGAAGAAGUGCGGCUCCUGUUUGAAAGGAUAAGGAGCGGCAGAAAAGCAGGCCCAGGCGACUGUUUAUCAAAAACACAGCCAUCUGCGAACCAGCAAUG
rnacentral:rRNA from 1 species